UUUUGUUUAUAGUUCAUAGUCAAUUGCCUUUGUGCUAGUCUUUUGUUUCCUUAGUCAGUUUUUGUGCCGCCAUUGUGCGCGCCUUUUGUUUGUUCCUGUUUUUAGUUAGUGUUAGAAUAAAGAAAUGUCUUUACCUUCACGCCGUUUCCACUCUAUUCGCUUUGCACCUCGGGAAAACUAUCCUCGUGGGUUCGGCACAGCCUCCGCUGCGGAUGUCAAGACACACCCAACUCAUCGUGUAAAUAAAAACUUCUCCCUGUCGGCGUAUUAUGGAUACGGCAACAGCAGAAAUCACACUGACUUGCAGAUCAAAGAUGAGUUCAGAAGGAUAACAGUUCAUCUGGAGCGAACCUUUUCGUCAAAACUGGACACACACACUCCCAAACUCCUGGAGAUAUUUAGGACAAAGGGUGGGGUUACAGGCAUGGAAAUCAGACCGAUGCUGGAUUCACUUGGCCAGCAACAUGUUGAAAGCAGAGGAGAUCUCAUCAUAUGUUGCCUAAUGGAGUUUCGUGAGAGUCGGGAGAGGAGCUGAUCAAAGACUGCCAGGAUGUAGGUGAAGAAGACUCUGUUCAUCAUGUCCUCAAAAUCCUCGUCAUCAGUGGAAAUGCAGCACAGGAAGGCCACAAUCCUGCCCAUGUGUCAAGUCAUCGUCGAAGGAAAAGAGGUUCUGGAUGACUGCAAAACCGUGGCAAAGGCUUGCCUUCUGCUCAUGGGCUUAAUCUACGCCAUGAACUUGAGUUAUCCACUAAAACUGAAAUACACAUUUGAAGUGUUUCAGAAGCUGUUUCUAGAGCUGGAUGUUCUGAAAAUGUCGCCCAAGGUACGGUCUUUGCGAAAUACACUUCUACUGUGAGUGUUUCCACAGUGUACAUAUGCUGUUCUAGCAUAUAGCUGUUCUUUGGUGUGUGUGAGCAGUACAUGACGCUUGUCAAUGUAACUUGUUGAAAGAUUUUGCUGUUGUGGUUAAAAGUUACAGUUCAGGACAUUUUAUUGGGUCCUUUACCUGUAAUUGUUCGCAUUAUUGAGAAUGUUUUAAAACAAAAAAAUCCAUGUUUUAUGUUUUGUCUGGUAAUGCUGCUAGAAAAUGUAAUAAA